rnacentral:lncRNA from 1 species
CAUUUUUAACAUAUGUGUUGUUUUUCUGGUAGUUCUCAAGUCAGCUUUCACAAUGGAACAAAUGGUGGUGAAAUUAAAAAAGCCAGUAUCCUACUGAUCCGCAAAUUAUAUAUAUUGAUGCAGCAUCUUGGGCCCCUACCCAAUGAUAUUACUUUGACCAUGAAACUGUUCUAUUACAAAGAUGAAACAAUCAGAAAGGAUGGAGCUGAAGAGACAGAGACAGAGAAAGAAUGCGGUACUAAGACACCUCACAAAGUCCAAGAAAAACGUCCUUCUAAACUCUCAUUGGAAACCAGAAUGACAUGGCAAAUGGACUUUGCUUCCAGCCAAGAAAACACGAGUGCACCAAAGAAGAAGAAAAAGAAAGUCAGCACAACACUUGAUUUGAUUCUUGCCCCUCAAAAGUUAUGACAGCCUCAGAAGCAAUAGCUAUAGCUGUAAUGCACCUGAACAGUAGUAUCUGAUCUGUUACCUACUUUGGGUAAAUUUCUACAGACAGCAUAUAUUUGGGACAAUGGCAACUUUGAGCCCAGUUGGAAUAGGGAAAAAAUGGGGCCCUAUUAGCUCAGCUGCCUUGAAGCUAUAUAAACAUUUUGCCAUUUGUGAAGGCAUCUUUCAUUCUUGUCUUUGAUAAAAAUUUAUGUCAAUGUAAUGAGAUUGUAUCACCCUGUCAGUUAACAGUUUAUACUAUAUAAAUACAGUUUAUAAUAUAUAAAUACUAAAUACAGCUAAACUAUAGGACGGUACCUUUGUAUCAUUGUGCUUCCCUGGGCACAAAAUUUCCAGAGAUGUUUGUUGUGGAUUAUUUUACAUGGAGGAGAAUACAUUGGAGAUGUGUUUGUGUUCUGUGUGUUCUCCCGUUUUCUCUUUAUUUUUUAAUAAAUACAGAAGAACCACA